rnacentral:rRNA from 1 species
GUGGGGAAUCUUGCGCAAUGGGCGAAAGCCUGACGCAGCAACGCCGCGUGUGUGAUGAAGGUCUUCGGAUCGUAAAGCACUGUCGCGAGGGACGAAUAAGGGUCGGGCUAACAUCCCGGUCCGAUGACGGUACCUCGAGAGGAAGCACCGGCUAACUCUGUGCCAGCAGCCGCGGUAAUACAGAGGGUGCAAGCGUUGUUCGGAAUUAUUGGGCGUAAAGCGCGUGUAGGCGGCUUUGUAAGUUGGGUGUGAAAGCCCUCGGCUUAACCGAGGAAGUGCGCCCAAAACUGCUUAGCUUGAGUGCCGGAGAGGGUGGCGGAAUUCCCGGUGUAGAGGUGAAAUUCGUAGAUAUCGGGAGGAACACCAGCGGCGAAGGCGGCCACCUGGACGGUAACUGACGCUGAGACGCGAAAGCGUGGGGAGCAAACAGG